rnacentral:rRNA from 1 species
CCUACGUGGGGCAGCAGUGGGGAAUAUUGGACAAUGGGCGAAAGCCUGAUCCAGCCAUGCCGCGUGUGUGAAGAAGGCCUUCGGGUUGUAAAGCACUUUCAGUGGGGAAGAAAGCCUUGGGGCUAAUACCCUCGAGGAAGGACAUCACCCACAGAAGAAGCACCGGCUAACUCCGUGCCAGCAGCCGCGGUAAUACGGAGGGUGCGAGCGUUAAUCGGAAUUACUGGGCGUAAAGCGCGCGUAGGCGGUCUGAUAAGCCGGUUGUGAAAGCCCCGGGCUCAACCUGGGAACGGCAUCCGGAACUGUCAGGCUAGAGUGCAGGAGAGGAAGGUAGAAUUCCCGGUGUAGCGGUGAAAUGCGUAGAGAUCGGGAGGAAUACCAGUGGCGAAGGCGGCCUUCUGGACUGACACUGACGCUGAGGUGCGAAAGCGUGGGUAGCAAACAGGAUUAGAUACCCUAGUAGUC